rnacentral:lncRNA from 1 species
ACCCACCGUCCCACUCGUUCAAUGCUUCCGCCAGUGAAUCGAUCGUCUCGAUAUCCAAAUGGUUAGUGGGCUCAUCUAGCAGCAGCAAGUGGGGUUGUCGAAAUGCUAACCACGCGAAGAUGACUCGACUCCUCUGUCCAUCGGAUAGGUUCUUCAUUGGCAUCACUUGCGCUUUCCCUGACAAUCCAAACUUCCCGAUUGNNNNNNNNNNNNNNNNNNNNNNNNNNNNNNNNNNNNNNNNNNNNNNNNNNNNNNNNNNNNNNNNNNNNNNNNNNNNNNNNNNNNNNNNNNNNNNNNNNNNNNNNNNNNNNNNNNNNNNNNNNNNNNNNNNNNNNNNNNNNNNNAUAGGAGUCAAUUCACCUGUCAUCAGUUUCAGCAGUGUACUCUUCCCUGCACCAUUAGGUCCUACUAAUGCUAUCCUUGAGUCCAAGUCUACCCCAAAGUCCAAGUUCUUGUAGAUCAGAUUCUCAGGCGUGUAUCCGAAAGUAACUUCCACAAACUGCAGUACCGGUGGAGGAAGUUUUCCGACAUCAACAAAUCGAAACACCAGAACCUUGUCCCUGACUACCUUCUCCGUGAGUCCACCUCGCUCCAUCUUUGCCAAUGUCUUCUCCUUACUCUGUGCCUGCCGGGCUAGUUUGGCUGACCCGUGACCGAAGCGAGCAAUGUACUCCUUCAUUGAAGCAAUCUGUUCCUGCUCCCACUUGUAUUGUUUCAUCUGGUUCUCUUCCAAUUCAGAACGAGUUUGAACGUACUGAUCGUAAUUGCCAGUGUACAACUUAAGUUUUUUGUUUUGCAUAUGGAUAAUGUUCGUACAAACUCCGUUCAGGAAAUCCUGGGAAUGUGAUACCACAACAAGGAUACGAUCAAAUUUCUUCAAAUUUUCUUCCAACCAGACACAAGCUUCUAAAUCUGUUUCCAAUUAAACCAAUUGUAAGCAUCAGAAUUGAGAAUCAUAGUGAAAAUGUUCUCCACGUCAAACUUUUGACGUCUAACAAAAUGACCAGUAAAGACCCAACUAAAAGAUUGGUGGCGUGGAUUCAUGAAUAGACUUAAAUUAAUUAAAAAUAUUAAUAAACAGCAUGACAUACACAUAAAAAACACGAAAUACCUACCUAAAUGAUUGGUUGGCUCAUCAAGCAAAAGAAUGGUGGGAUUCAUGAAUAGAGCUCGUGCCAAUGCAAUCCUCAUUCUCCAACCACCAGAGAAAUCUUGGGUUUUCUUUGCCUGCAUCAUCUUGUUGAAACCGAGGCCAAAUAAAAUUUCAGCAGCACGUUUCUCAGCAGUUGAUGCAUCCAAGGCAUCCAAUCGCUCAUAAAUACGUUCAAGCGCCUCUCCACCACCAUCAUCCUAAAACAAUAUUAAUGGAUAAAAAUACAGAAAACGAGGUUAUAAUGCAUGUUUUUGAUGAAACUUAGCAUGAUUACAACACUGGGUUUGCUGAAUAACCUGUGCUGCCAAGAUUUCUGCUUCUUUCUCCAACUUCAACCUCUCUUCAUCACAACUUAUGACAGCCUGCAAUGCAGACAUAUCUGAAGCUUCAAUCUCCCUCGUCAGGUGAUAGAUAUCCAUGUGCUCCGGAAUUGGAAGUUCACGCAACCCUAUUGCAGUAAGCAGCGUGGACUUCCCACAACCAUUUAAUCCUAGCAAACCAUAGCGUCUGCAAAGAUAAUAUGAAAUAGACGGUGGUCUCAUCAGAUAAAUAUCCCAAACAAGAUUUUACAAUGAAUAUUCCGAAGCAACAUGAUACAAGGUCAUCAGACCUGCCAUAAUUAAGCUCCAAUAUUGAAUCAACAAUAAGAUCAUGUCCGUGGAAAGUAACUGAUAAGGACUCUAUCUGCAACAAGAAAAUCAAUUCAACAUCAAUAUAAAUUAUGAUUCAAGGACACAUCUUGAACAUACAGAAAGGUUCUUUUACCUCCAAUAAUGGAAUCAGUCAAAUAUAUCAAAACUUUUUAACUAAUUUGUCUAUAUUCAUAAAUGGAUCAUCCAAACUAAUGAAUCGUUCCAGUAUUAAUUUUUGGAAGCUAAAAUACAAGAUUUACACUUUUCUUCUUUCCCUCAAACAAUUUAGCAUAAAAAGAAGAGUAUGCUUCAAAAAAAUUAUUUGGAGAUAUCCUUUUUUUAAGCAUAUUUUGUUCGGGUUGCCUGGCAGCAUCGAGAUUUUACUGUAUUUAAUAAAAAGUCCAUAUUAAGUCUGGGUUUUAAAUCUUCAAAUGGAUCAUGAUUUCAAAUUUUGUAACUUAAAAUAUGACUAAUUUAGUAAAUGAUACGCAAGUGUACUGAACAGAUAUCGAGAAGGUUUUGAGUUACUGUUUAGAGAAUAUGAUUUAUUUAUUUUCGUAUAUGAUUUCAAAUAAGAUUCUGAUUAUCUUUAGGACUUCGAGUGGAUUAAUUCCUAUUCAUUGAUUUCGGUUUAAGGAGUUCAGGCAUGCGAUUAGAUAUUACUUAACUGUUUUUUAAGAAACAAAUCAAAUACAAUCCCAUUUAAUCUCACAAAGGAAGGAAUCCUUCCAACUUACACGAAUAUCUCGGGAAAGAGGAUGCGAGCAGAGAACACCGGUACAGGUCCGAUCGGAUAUCUGAAGCAUACUAACUUUAUCAGAAACCUUAUCAACGCCGUUCUCCGCGGUCGCCGCAGCUGCCGCCUUGGAAGAUGCAGCGGCUGCAGCAGCCUUCCCUCCUCUCUUCGCAGCGGCAGCAGCCUUCUUCUGAGCAGCCUUCUUCUUGCUCGCGUCCGACACCAUCUUCAAGUCUAACAACCACAACAAACCUAGAACUGCAAUUAAUGCAAAAAAGAAAAAAGAAAAAAACAGGAAAGUUAAAUCCGAAAAGAAUCAAUACCUCCGUUAGUAGAGGGAAGAUCAGAGAAGGUGAUAAUGGAUCAAAGGUUUGGACGUACGGAAAUUUGGUGCUACUGUGCGUUGCUGGAGAGAUACAAUUAGACGUAAAACUCCGAAAAAUAGGGUUUCUGAAUUAUAAAAGCUUUCAGAAGAGAGGAGAGAGUUUUGUUUUUGAAGCGAGUAAGAAUGAUGGAAAGAGGUGAGGACACGUGUACGGUUUCGUUUUUUAACGGACUUCAAUUUGCCUCUCUAUCUUCCAACCAAACGGUGUCGUGUUAUGUUUAUAAUUCAACCACGUCUCUUUUAUGUUUAACUUUGACUAAAGGUUUUAUUCACAUUUUAGCCCCCAAACUUUCCCCGUUUUCCCAAAUAGGUAUCUAAACUUUUUUAUCCCAAAUAGGUACCUGAAUUUUAACUCCGUUAACUUUUUUAGUCCAAGAGAAUAACGUCGUUUGGAAAAAUUCCUGACCAAUCCAGCUUUGGCACGUUUAUUGUUUUUCCAUGUCAGACAUUUAAAAGAAAUUAAUAAAUUAUUUGUGAAAAGAUAAAAUAAAAUAUUUAAUGUACAUAAAUGUUUUACUUCUAUAAAGUAACAGGGAAAAAAAGAUUAUAUUCAUAUGUUUGUUUUCUUCUUGUUCUAUUACAAGAAUCUUGAAAAAAAAAAAAUCUAGAUUUUGUUUUCAUUUCCAUCAUCCAUUUUCUUUAUCAGAUUACUAGUGUACAAACCCAAAAUUUGCCCAACCCAUAUACAAAUAAUAAAAUCAAAAUUAAACUAAAACCAAAAUAAAUGAAACAGGCCUAAAUUAUCAAACCCAAAAAAAGGCCCAACAACCUAAAAGCUAACCCUAGCCCAAAACAAAACAAAAACAAAACCCUAGGCAGCAACCAAGCCUUAGACGCCGCACCCCAACGGCAGUCCCCGUGCGCGCCACCUUCUCCGCGCAUGCCGCCACGUUUUUACCUGUAAAGGACUAGUAGAGUCCAAUAGCAACACAAACAGUGUAAAAGUAGGGAAAAUAGGAAAUUUCGGGCUAUAAAAAAAAGCUAUUUUAACACUCACAAAUGAAUCAAAAGAAAUUGGAAAAAAAUCAGUUCAAAUAUCGGGCAUUCUCAAAGGUAGUUAUUUUAUUUUUUUCGGCUUAUUUAUUUAUUAUUUUUUUCUCUUUUUUUAUUAAAAAAUAAAUCGAAAAUACAAAGGGUAAAAAUCAUACCUUUAUUGCAGAGGAGGUGACCGAUUCCGAUGAAAAUCAGCGUUCUAUGGGUUUGGGGAUUGAAAAAACUAAAAAAAUAGUGACUCUUCAUUUUUCGGUCAUCGCGGGCGGCGGCACCGUCGCCGACGACCGGCGGCCGGCGGCUGCCGCGGUGAUCCGAUGACCGGACAUUGGCUGGAGGGGGAAGGCUGUGAGAGAGUUGAGAGAAAAGAGUUUUUUUUUUUUAAAAAAGGAGGCUACAAAUGUUUUUUAUGGUUUUUUGUUUACUUAUAUAGACACCCCAAAACGACGUCGUUUUGGGCUUGGCUUCUGAUGCCCAAAACGACGUCGUUUCACUCCCUUGACCCAAGCGGUGACCCGACCCAGGGGAAGGAUCCGCGUGUUUUUGGAAUUUAGGUUAUUCACCCUUUCGGUCCUUCCGCUUUUUUGGUUUAUUUGAAUUUAGUCCUUUAUUCUUUUUUUAUUUUAUUGAUUUGGCCAUAAAACUUUUGCGUGUUUCAACUUAGUCCCUGGCUCGCUAGAAGGGACAUGUGUCCAGGGAAUUGGGUUAUUUUCCCAUUUUGUCCUCAACCUUUGUGCGCCAUUUGACUUUAGUCCUAUUUAUUUAUUUAUUUAUGAUUUUUACCCUUUAAUUUCAUUUUUUUGUCCCGAUUUAGUCCCAAACCAGUUAGACUUCAAUUUAUUUUUGCCUAUUAUUUAUUUAUUUAUUUAUUUUGAACUUAUAUUAUUUAUUUUAAAUUGUUCUAUUAUUAUUUACUUUAAGUUUUUUUAUAUAUUAUGCAUUUUAAACUAUAUUAAAUUAUUAUCCAUUUAUAUAUCCAUAUGUUAUUGGUUUUAAUUCUAGUUUUAUUUUAAAUUUCAUCUAUAUAUUAUUUAUUAUAAGCUAUAUAUAUUUAUCCUAACAUUAUUAUUACUUAUUUUAUAUUUUCCUAUAAUAUAUAUACCACAAUUUUAAAUACCUUUAUAUAUAUAUAUGUAUUAUGUUAUGUAUGUGUGACAUUUUUUUUAAAUGAUUUUAUUUAAACUUGUUCUAUAUAUGUUGUCUUAUUUUGAAUUAAUUUGCAUACUCGUUUCUAAAAAAAGGGUUUUUUAAGUUUUUUUUUAAAUUGUUCUUAUAAUAUAUUUUUUUAAAAUUGCUUUUGCAUUAUUUGCUUGAUGUUGUUCUGUUUCAUUUAGAUUUUCCCACUAUUCAUCUCAUUUUGGUAUGAAUGUAGAUAUUAAAAAAAAUUGUUAUGUGGUAUAUGAGAUUAUGGUCUUUAUGUAUAUUGUAUUGCUCUUUUGUAUCUAUUGAUUCUUAAUCACUUGUUAGCAUGUUUUAGCUUACGAACUAUCAUUUCAGGUUAUAUAUCGUUAUCUCAUUGCGUUUCAUUUGUAAAAAGGGAUUAUGUAUCAUUAAGGCAUUAAAAUCGUUUUAUCCGCAAGUUUUCAAAAUAUUCGGUGUUCAAGAUUCUCGAGGAGAUUGUGCCCUAACUUACUGGGCUUCAAUUUUCUCCGUUGAAUUUAAAUAGCCAAGUAUCCUUUUUUCAAUAAAAUCUUAAACAUUUCAAGAUUAAAACUUACUCUCGGGAAUUCAAAGGGUUGUGUCCCAACUCACAGAAUACGACAUUUUGUUAUCUCGAGACGAGAUUUUUUUUUAACAAAAGCAAAUUAGUGUGUGGUCGUCAAAACUUCAAAGAACCGUACCCAAAGUUACGAGGUUUCGAUUUCUUCAUAAAAACAAGAUGACCAAACUUUUUUUAGUUUUCAAAUUAAUAAAUUUCAAUAAAGAUUUUAAAAGGAGAAUCGUCUUUUUAAUCUUUUUCAUUCGACCUUAAGACAUUAAAUAAUUAAUUCGGUAUCAAUUUUUGGCGUUACGAGGGUGCUAAUCCUUCCUCGUACGUAACUGACUCCCGAACCCGUAUAACGAAUUGGUUUUUUAUAUUGCAUGUAAAAAAAAUUGAAUUCGUUGGAAUCAGAUUCUUUUUUAUAUGAAUUGGAUUGAAUUUUUCUUUUUUUUUAAUUUUAAUUUCACAAAAAAAUUUAUGGCGUACAAAGUUUUGAAUUUCGUAUUUAUCAAAUUUUUUUUAUAAGUGGUCCAUUGAACUUCUAAUUUAACAACCCUUCCAUUUUCAAUAUCUAUUUUAGGUGGUUCGCAUCCAAUCAAUAUAGCUCAUCGUGUCUUCUCAUUAAUGGAUUUAAUAUAUGCUUUCAUGCAUGCUUUCUAGAACGCAUAAUUGUCAACACCUAGCAUAGGAGGUUUUGAAGUAGAUUAAUCUUCUGUAGUUGUAGUUUGAGUUUAGCAAUACUAGGGAUCUCCACUAACUACUUAAGUGGUAAAUUCUGAUACCAAUUGAUAUUUUAAAAUAGUUGUUGAGAUAUAAGUGAUGUGCUUGAAAACACUAGGUGAAAUAGAAAAUAAAUAAAUGAUACAAAAAUUGUCUACGCAGUUCGGUUUCCCUACAUCUACAGAGUCUAGCUCAAUAAGAAAUAUUCACUAUCUUUAACACUUAUAACAAGUGAUCCUGAUCUAUCAUCCAUUCAUGACAAUUUCUUCACCUUUGUACCUUAAAAUGAACCUCUCAAAUCAUAACACAAAAAAAUUUACUAUCAAAACAGUGUACCUUUCCUCGGUGCACUCAAUCAACAUUAUUUAUGGUUACAAAUCUUUUCAGGGGCUUUGAAACAUGACAGAUGCUGCAUUGAAAUAUUAUUCAAAGUUGAUUUAAUGUUUUUAAUAAUAAGCAUUUCAGGUUUACAAUUUAAGCAAGUUCGGGUUUAAUUUAAUCUCAUUUGUUUUAUUUCAUACGAAGAGAUAACAUUCCAAUGGAAUUUGGGUCUCUUUCAGUCUAACCCAGCAGCUUCUCCAGAUUUUCCUUCAAUCUCCAUUGCGAACCCCAUCAAAAAUACUUCACCAAAAUCCAACCCCAAACUCGAACAAGUUUUCAAACAAUUCCCUCAUCAUCUCUAUUUGAAAAAGUUUAAAAAGCUUAAAAGGGACAACACGUUUCUUUCUUUAAUUCUUUCUAAUCUCAUUCUCUGUUAGAACAGAAGGCUAAAAGAACAAAUUUUAUACUAGGAUUCUAUUGAAUUCCAAUUUACUUCAAUUCUAAAAUGAAUAAUUUAAUUAGUAAAUUUGCAAUGGCGUCAUGUGGUUUACAAGCCUUUGUUGCUGGAACAGCUUAGAGAAUCCUUUCCGGUUUGUGCUCCACUAAAAUGCAUAUCCCUGCAUCAUCUGAGCAUGCUUCCAUCAUGCGCUCCCUCGGCCAACAGCUCUCCUAUAAACAACUCUCAGAAAAAUGAUCAAAGACAUCGACGCUGACGGUGAUGGGUUUAUUAAUUGCGAGGGAUUUGUCUAGCAAAAUACCAAAGGAGUCGAUUCCAACGCAGCGAGAAAUUUUGGAUGAAGCCAUGAGAGAAGGAAGGAAGCCAAAGAUGAUUUCGGUUUUGGGGGAAGAUUUUGAUGAAGUUCAAGAACUUUUGGAUGGAGAAGAUGGGAGAGUUUAGGGAGCUUGCGGCUUAAGAGAGGGUUGAUUGAAAAUAUUGGGUUUAAGAAAGUCUGUACUUUUUUAUCCUUCUCAUGCAUUCUGCAUAUUGUAAUGCUUAAAUUAUUCAUAACCCUCUUUCUUAAAAUAGAGAACAGAAAAUAUUACACGCAUAACACUGUUCAACCUGAAAAUCCAAGUUAAUGCAAGAAAAAACAAAAAAGAUGGGAAACACAAAAUACAGCAUAGGAAUGAUUAUAUGAUGCCAAAUCCUCGGCAGCACAAUGCCUAAAGAGCUUUAAACCUAGAACAGGUAUCACCGAACAACCAACCCCUCGGAGAAAGCAAACCCAGGUUUAAAAAACCAAAUGGCAACAAAUCCUGCUUUGCUAAACCCACCAAACAGAGGUCACGAAAACUCGAUGGCUUCAAACAAUAACAAAGCCUUUCCUCGUUACCUCUGCUCUAUAAAAAUACUAAAUAGCGGCUACUAGCUUAAUCCACCACGCGAGAAUAACUCAUCUGGGGUGGUGGACACCAUCUGCUUUAAAGUUAUAUGCUAAUUACUACUUUGUUUCAAUCAGAUAAACCAGCUUUACUCUUGAGAUGCUGCUUGAAGUCCAUGAUGUCCCCUUCCCAUCGUGUUGCAGCUUGAUUUUCACACACCCAUAUCUCCUCGGCUACCUGGUUUAUCAGCCGGAAAUCGUGACUCACCAGUACCAACCCACCGUCCCACUCGUUCAAUGCUUCCGCCAGUGAAUCGAUCGUCUCGAUAUCCAAAUGGUUAGUGGGCUCAUCUAGCAGCAGCAAGUGGGGUUGUCGAAAUGCUAACCACGCGAAGAUGACUCGACUCCUCUGUCCAUCGGAUAGGUUCUUCAUUGGCAUCACUUGCGCUUUCCCUGACAAUCCAAACUUCCCGAUUGCACCUCUCAUCUUCUCUUCCUCAUUUCCAGGGUAUUCUCUUAUCAUGUACUGGAGAGCUGACAUUUCCAUAUCCAGUUUCUCUGCCAAGUGCUGAUGGAAUUGCGCAAUUCGCAGAUGGUUAUGCCGUCGGACCAUUCCAUCAAUAGGAGUCAAUUCACCUGUCAUCAGUUUCAGCAGUGUACUCUNNNNNNNNNNNNNNNNNNNNNNNNNNNNNNNNNNNNNNNNNNNNNNNNNNNNNNNNNNNNNNNNNNNNNNNNNNNNNNNNNNNNNNNNNNNNNNNNNNNNCUAUCCUUGAGUCCAAGUCUACCCCAAAGUCCAAGUUCUUGUAGAUCAGAUUCUCAGGCGUGUAUCCGAAAGUAACUUCCACAAACUGCAGUACCGGUGGAGGAAGUUUUCCGACAUCAACAAAUCGAAACACCAGAACCUUGUCCCUGACUACCUUCUCCGUGAGUCCACCUCGCUCCAUCUUUGCCAAUGUCUUCUCC